rnacentral:rRNA from 1 species
AACGAACGCUGGCGGCAGGCCUAACACAUGCAAGUCGAACGGGACCUUCGGGUCUAGUGGCGGACGGGUGAGUAACGCGUGGGAACGUGCCCUUUGGUUCGGAAUAGCCCCGGGAGACUGGGAGUAAUACCGGAUAAGCCCUACGGGGGAAAGAUUUAUCGCCAAAGGAUCGGCCCGCGUUGGAUUAGGUAGUUGGUGGGGUAAUGGCCUACCAAGCCGACGAUCCAUAGCUGGUUUGAGAGGAUGAUCAGCCACACUGGGACUGAGACACGGCCCAGACUCCUACGGGAGGCAGCAGUGGGGAAUCUUAGACAAUGGGGGAAACCCUGAUCUAGCCAUGCCGCGUGAUCGAUGAAGGCCUUAGGGUUGUAAAGAUCUUUCAGUGGGGAAGAUAAUGACUGUACCCACAGAAGAAGCCCCGGCUAACUCCGUGCCAGCAGCCGCCGCCGUAA